CUCCGCCUCAGUGACAUCAUAACACUGCGGCCACACAGAGGACAAUGGUGCCUGGCAGCUGCUGCCUGAUGGGGCUGUCUCUCAGCCAGCCGAGGCCCUUCCCUGCUUCGGCACAGAAUACGUCCGCUCCAGAGCCAGGUCACUGUUGAUGAAGACGAUGAACAACACCAGACCCAGCACCGAUCCUUGGGGAACACCACUGAUUACAGGGCUACAACCAGAUUGUGCCACUGAUGACAACCCUCUGAGCUCUGCCAGCCAGCCAGUUUUCAAUCCACCUCACUGUCCACUUAUCCAUCCUGCACUUUCUAAGCUUCAUAACAAGGAUGAUGUUGGCAACAGUUUCAAAUGCCUUGCCAGAGAUACAACAAGGUCACAAGGUGCACGUCAUCUACUGCUCAACAGAUAUCUAUCCACCCAGUGAUGACAUCAUAGAAAGCUACCAGAGUCAGAGGUGAGGCUGACUGGCCUCCAGUUUCCCACCUCCUUCUUCUUGCCCUUUCUGAAGAUUGAAGUGACACUGGCUGUCCUUGAGUAUUCAGGCAUCUCUUCUAUUUGCCAAGACCUUUCAAAGAUGAUAGAGAGUGGUUCAACUAUCACCUCAGUCAGCUCCUUCAGUACAUGUGGAUGCAUUCCAACCAGG